GACGAACGCUGGCGGCGUGCCUAACACAUGCAAGUCGAACGAGAGCGACCGGUGCUUGCCCUGGUCAAUCUAGUGGCGCACGGGAGUAUAACACGAGGGUAACGUGCCCCUCAGAGGGGGAUCACCUUCGAAAACGGAUGCUUACAGCGCAUAGGUCUUCGAACCGCAGGGUUUGUAGUAGAGAAGCGGCGCAAGGUUCUGGUGACGGAUGGAACCGCGGUGCUUGAGCUAGUUGGUGGGGUAACGGCUCUCACGGGCCGGGAUGCAUAGCCGACCUGAGAGGGGGAUCGGCCACAUGGGGACUGAGACACGGCCGUAACUCCUGCGGUAAGCAGCAGUAGGGAAUCUUACGCAAUGGACGCGAGUCUGACAGAGCAACGCGGCGUGAGUUAAGAAGGUGUUCGGAUCGGAAAGCGCUGUUGUUAGUGGAGAAUAAGUGCUAGAUUAACUGUUAAGGCCUUGACGGUAUCUAACCAGAAAGCCACGGCUAACUACGUG
rnacentral:rRNA from 1 species